AUGACAAACAUCCCACUCCCUGAAAGAAAGAUAGAAACUUUACUCGCUUCUCUCUCCUCACAUGGUAUUAUUAUAUCAUAUGAUGGCCAUCUGCAGGUCCUUGAGCAGGCCAUUUGUACUACCAUCUAUAAUUAUAUUUUUGUAAACCUAAAGGUACACUGCCAUGCUAUCCCCUCUCCCACCAUCGUGCUCCUUGCAUCUCUGCCCCCUCCCUCCUCCUCUUUCUCUCAUGUCAAGUGGGUAAGAAUGCAGCAACUUUUCACUCAUUUGUUUUUGUUUCUAGUUAGGCAUUCACAGGCCCGGUUCACCUGCCCAAACCAAAAAGUUGUCACCUAA
rnacentral:rRNA from 1 species